UACGUAGGGUGCAAGCGUUGUUCGGAAUCACUGGGCGUAAAGCGCACGUAGGCGGAUGUGUCAGUCAGGGGUGAAAUCCCGGAGCUCAACUUCGGAACUGCCUUUGAUACAGCACGUCUUGAGUCCGAUAGAGGUGGGUGGAAUUCCUAGUGUAGAGGUGAAAUUCGUAGAUAUUAGGAAGAACACCGGUGGCGAAGGCGGCCCACUGGAUCGGUACUGACGCUGAGGUGCGAAAGCGUGGGGAGCAAACAGG
rnacentral:rRNA from 1 species